UACGAAGGGGGCAAGCGUUACUCGGAUUUACUGGGCGUAAAGCGUGCGUAGGCGGUUAUGUAAGUUGGAAGUGAAAGCCUAGGGCUCAACCCUAGAAUGGCUUUCAAGACUGCAUAGCUAGAGUAUUAGAGAGGAUAGCAGAAUUCCUAGUGUAGAGGUGAAAUUCGUAGAUAUUAGGAGGAAUACCGGAAGCGAAAGCGGCUAUCUGGCUAGUUACUGACGCUGUUGCACGAAAGCGUGGGGAGCAAACAGG
rnacentral:rRNA from 1 species